rnacentral:rRNA from 1 species
GAUGAACGCUGGCGGCGUGCUUAACACAUGCAAGUCGAACGGAAAGGCUCCUGCUGGCAGGGGUACUCGAGUGGCGAACGGGUGAGUAACACGUGGGUGACCUGCCCUGCACUUCGGGAUAAGCCUGGGAAACUGGGUCUAAUACCGUAUAGGACGAUGGUUUGGAUGCCAUUGUGGAAAGCUUUUUCGGUUUGGGAUAAGCUCGCGGCCUAUCAGCUUUUGGGUGGGGUAGUGGCCUACCCAGGCGUCGGCGGGGAGCCGGCCUGAGAGGGUGUACGGCGACCAUGCGCCUGCGAUACGGCCCAGUCUCGUACGGGAGGCAGUAGUGGGAAGUCUUGCACAAUGAGCGCAAGCCUGUUACAGAGACGUCGGGUGGGGGAUGCCCGUCUGCGGGUUGAGAACUGCAUCAGCUUAAGACCCCGCGCAAGUGACGGUACCUAAAGAAGAAGCACCGGCUAACUACGUG